AGUGAACGCUGGCGGUAGGCCUAACACAUGCCAGUCGAACGGCAGCACAGUGAGAGCUUGCUCUUACGGGUGGCGAGUGGCGGACGGGUGAGGAAUACAUCGGAAUCUACUUUUUCGUGGGGGAUAACGUAGGGAAACUUACGCUAAUACCGCAUACGACCUACGGGUGAAAGCAGGGGAUCUUCGGACCUUGCGCGAUUGAAUGAGCCGAUGUCGGAUUAGCUAGUUGGCGGGGUAAAGGCCCACCAAGGCGACGAUCCGUAGCUGGUCUGAGAGGAUGAUCAGCCACGCUGGAACUGAGACACGGUCCAGACUCCUACGGGAGGCAGCAGUGGGGAAUAUUGGACAAUGGGCGCAAGCCUGAUCCAGCCAUACCGCGUGGGUGAAGAAGGCCUUCGGGUUGUAAAGCCCUUUUGUUGGGAAAGAAAAGCAGCAGGUUAAUACCCCGCUGUUCUGACGGUACCCAAAGAAUAAGCACCGGCUAACUUCGUG
rnacentral:rRNA from 1 species